rnacentral:rRNA from 1 species
AGAGUUUGAUCCUGGCUCAGGAUGAACGCUGGCGGCGUGCUUAACACAUGCAAGUCGGACGAUGACCUCCAGCUUGCUGGGGUGAUUAGUGGCGAACGGGUGAGUAACACGUGAGUAACCUGCCCUUAACUCUGGGAUAAGCCUGGGAAACUGGGUCUAAUACCGGAUAUGACUCCUCAUCGCAUGGUGGGGGGUGGAAAGCUUUUUGUGGUUUUGGAUGGACUCGCGGCCUAUCAGCUUGUUGGUGAGGUAAUGGCUCACCAAGGCGACGACGGGUAGCCGGCCUGAGAGGGUGACCGGCCACACUGGGACUGAGACACGGCCCAGACUCCUACGGGAGGCAGCAGUGGGGAAUAUUGCACAAUGGGCGAAAGCCUGAUGCAGCGACGCCGCGUGAGGGAUGACGGCCUUCGGGUUGUAAACCUCUUUCAGUAGGGAAGAAGCGAAAGUGACGGUACCUGCAGAAGAAGCGCCGGCUAACUACGUGCCAGCAGCCGCGGUAAUAC